rnacentral:lncRNA from 1 species
CACAAAGGCAGUAUGAUUCAUUUUGCUUACUAAAUGCCACUCCACACAACUCCAGACAGACACAGACAGCUUCCGAGGCUGCUCCUAAUGUUUAAGUAAGACUGCAUGAUAUAUUGCCCAGUUUUAAUUUCCCAGCUUCUAAAUAAGCAUCACCUUACUCUACAGGCAGCCCGGCUGACUACCAUAGGCUUGCUUAAAUCGGAAAAGACUACUGAGCAUGAGUAAGAGUGGCAGCAUCUAGCCCUUUCUGACUGAGCCAAGGUCACAAAAGUCACUGCAAAGUCCAGAAGAAGAGCUCCAUGGUUGUGACUGUCAUUUCACUUGCUGGGAAGAACGUGCACUGAGAAGAGCACGCGGACAAGGCAAGCGGUUACAGAAAACAGAGCAAUAUGGACAGGACCACCAGACUCCUUUCUACAUGUGAUCUACAGUGCAUCUGAACACCUGUCUGCAGAAGGUGGCAGCAGGUACGUACUACGGCUGCUGCUGCUGCUGGGUAACAGCUGUUCUGAAAGACACAAACCCCGUGGUCCAAGCAUUCAAAUACCUGACUGGGAAUCCUGGCUUCUCUGAUCUCUACAGACAGCGCAGGUAUCAAACAAUCUAGGUACGAAACAAUCUAGAAUUACACUGACCUGACUA